ACGAAGGGGGCGAGCGUUAUUCGGAAUCACUGGGCGUAAAGCGUAUGUAGGCGGUUAUGUAAGUUAGAAGUGAAAGCCCAGGGCUUAACCUUGGAAUUGCUUUUAAUACUACAUGACUCGAAUUCGGUAGAGGAUAGUGGAAUUAUCAGUGUAGCAGUGAAAUGCGUAGAUAUUGAUAGGAACACCAGUGGCGUAGGCGACUAUCUGGACCGACAUUGACGCUGAGAUACGAAAGCGUGGGUAGCAAACAG
rnacentral:rRNA from 1 species